AUGUAUAUAUAAUGUCUUAUUGAAUGUUCUAUCUAUGCAUGAUGUACUGCUUCAAAUUUACUUUACGGACCUUUAAAGUCUGACUGAUCACCUAUAUCACUGUCAUACUGAAACUCUCUUCAGAAGGCAAUUUUUUGCUACUUUGUGUUGUGUGUAAUCAUUGAGCUCGUUUGUGUUGUAGUAUGUAAUCUUUAAGCUACUCUGUGUUUUGUGUAAACUGCAGAACUACUUUAAUUUGUUUUUGUGUACUCUAAACUAAUAUAUUUCAUUUGUUAUCUUUCAAAGUACUAAACCACUACUCUAACUCUCCUAUUUUUCCCUGACUUUUGAUCACAGUCUCUUCUCAAUUAAUUAUGUCUUACCAUAAAAGAUACAGGCAGAUACAACGUGAGCUCAAGGAACUGUUGGUUAGUAGUAGUGAAGAGGAAGCUGACUGGGUUCAUCAAAACACCAAAAUUCCCAAACUUUACCAUAAUAACUCUGACCCAUCUUUAAGCUUUUCUGACCAGGACAGUUGUGAAAGUACAUCCUUAUCCCCCUUGAUAGUAACUGCACCAGAAGAAUUAAGCACAGAUGAUGAGAGUCACCACCAUAUAUCUGAUUUGGCACUUGAAGAAGGAUUAGCUUUAUGGGCAUCAAAAAAUAACAUUACACGCCAGGCAGCAAAUGAAUUAUUGGAGCUGUUGAGGAAUAAUGGGCAUAAUCUACCUAAAGAUUCACGCACUUUGAUGGAAACUCCAAGGUAUGUAGAGGUAUUAGAAAAAUGUGGAGGACACUAUUAUUAUUUUGGGAUUGGUUCAUGUUUGCAAAAUAUAUUGAAGACUCAUCCAGCAUUUGUAAAAGAAAAUGAUUCGGUUAAACUCAGUGUAAACAUAGAUGGUAUUCCUUUACAUAAAUCAAGCAAUGAACAGUUCUGGCCUAUACUGAUAAAGUUCAGCUGCUUUAAGCCAGCAUUAGUUGCUCUGUAUUGUGGAAAGACUAAACCAGAUUCUAUUGACAGUUUUUUGGAAGAUUUUCUUCAAGAAUAUAAGCAACUUUCUAAAAAUGGUUUAGUUUUUGAAGGGAAAAGACUGGCAGUAAGAAUAGUUGCAUUUAUUUGUGAUGCACCUGCACGCUCAUUUAUCAAAUGCAUAAAAGGGCACAAUGGGUAUUACUCAUGUGAGAGAUGUGAAAUUAAAGGAACCUGGCAAUCACAUGUUCUUGUAUUAGACUCUGCACAACCCUGUAAUGAAAGAUCUGAUGAGAAAUUCAAUCAGGAACAGUACAGGGAUUCUCAUCAGUUAGGAAAAAGUCCUUUGAUUCAGUAUGGAAUAUCUUGCGUGAAAGGGUUUCCACUGGAUUACAUGCAUAUGAUUUGCCUUGGUGUUACCAGAAGAAUGCUACUUUUCCUCAUAAGAGGUUCUAAGAAAUGCAAACUCUCUCAGCUUCAAAUAAGUUUAAUUUCUUCUUCUUUAGAGAGUCUUUCCAACAAACUACCAAGUGAAUUUGCUAGACAGCCACGAUCACUAGCUGUAAUUGAUCGCUGGAAGGCCACCGAAUUUAGACAGUAUAUAUUAUACACAAGUAUUGUUGUCCUGAAAGAUGUUGUUCCUGAUAUUAUAUACAAAAACAGUCUUUUGCUUACUGUGUCCUUAUCAGUUUUAUUGAAUUCCAAUGAUGAAAUACGAAAUUCUUACUUACCAUAUGCAAGAGAAUUACUUAAGUGUUUUGUACAACAGUGUCGAGAUAUAUAUGGUCAAAGUUUUAUUGUAUAUAAUGUUCAUAAUCUUCUUCACUUGGUAGAUGAUGUAGAGAAUUACCAGUGUUCCCUUAAUGACAUUUGUGCUUUCCCAUACGAGAAUGAACUUCACAAAAUAAAGCAGUUAGUGAGGUCAUCAAACAAUCCAGUUUCUCAAGUUUUCAAAAGACUUGCAGAAAAGAAAAUGAUUAAUGAAUCAAAAGUGACAGAAGCUAAUCACAGAAUAUAUAUAUCUACAAAAUACAAAAAUAAUUGUUUCAUGUUAAAAAAUGAAGAUUUUGUGUUCCUUAGGAAACUAAAAAAUGAUGUCUACUAUGAAUGUGAUGUUCUUCGUCAAAGCCAAACUGAAAAUUUUUUUACUGAACCAUGCAAUUCUAAACUCAUUAACAUUGUGUUUAUGAAAAAUAAGAGUAAUUUAAAAAAGAAAGUAAUUCACUUAGAGCAGCUGCAUAGAAAGGUGAUAAAAUUGCCAUAUAAAGAUGGUGUUGUUUUAGUACCAGUUGUACAUGACAUUUCCAGUUAGGUGGGCAGUUGUACAUGGUGUAUUCUCAUGACUGAUAUGUGUUUACUAAAGAGAAGUUAAGCAAAACGUUUCAGAUCUGCAGGAUUUUAGUCUUCAUACACAAGUUGUAUUUGUUAUGUAUCUCUCUUAUGGCCAUUGUUCUUUAUCUCAAAACUGUUCAUCUGCAUCUUCACUCUCCUCUUCGUCUCCCUUGUGCCUUGUGUGCCAGUACAGCCCGGAGUGCUGCUCUUCGGCUUAUGAAGAGGAUUUUGUCAGGUUGAGACAUGGAAUGUGGAAACGAGCAGUUUGGUUGGAGGGUAAGAAAGAAGAAGAGGGUGUGGUGCCAUCCAGCUGGGUAUUAGAAGAGAACCAAACCUUGUUUUGGCCACAAGGAGUUAAUGCUGAGAAUGCCCUUCAUAAUCAGCAAGAACCAGACCCUGCAUCAUGGAGAAAGUUUAUGUUGAAAAAAGUGAAGAUCACUUCUGGUUGGUGUUUUACUAUUAUCUUGCUGUUAUUGGAUGACGUUCACUUUCAUUAACAGUAAUUUAUUUUGUAAUUUAGUAAUAGAUAUAACAUUUUAAUUUAUAAUUUUGCUUUUGCCUACCACUUAGGUUCCCAUGUAUUUUUACGUAAAUGAAAAAGUAUGGAGCUACACAAGUAUCAAUUCACAAAAUGCUUAAUUUCAUUGACAACUGUGGUCUGUAUUGUUUUAAGCAUAUUGUGUACUUGUGGCAGGCCUGGUAUUCUUUGCAUAUAUUCCCCCUGGGGCUACAUAGAUACUAGAAUGUAGCCCUCUCCAUGUCGGCUGUGUGCCGUAAGAGGCGACUGAUUCUGGCCCUGGGUGGGGAUCUCUUUUACUAGCCCAUAGCAGGUCUUUUUACCGCUUGACAUAUUUUCCCUUCUCAUUUCCCUUUGCUUUCUGUCCAUUUUCUUUUACGU